CGCGUAGGCGGUCUCUUAAGUCAGAUGUGAAAGCCCGGGGCUUAACCCCGGAAGUGCAUUUGAAACUAAGGGACUUGAGUAUGGGAGAGGGAAGUGGAAUUCCUGGUGUAGAGGUGAAAUUCGUAGAUAUCAGGAGGAACACCGGUGGCGAAGGCGACUUCCUGGACCAAUACUGACGCUGAGGCGCGAAGGCGUGGGGAGCGAACAGGAUUAGAUACCCUGGUAGUCC
rnacentral:rRNA from 1 species